rnacentral:rRNA from 1 species
GAUGAACGCUGGCGGCGUGCUUAACACAUGCAAGUCGAACGGGGUUAUAUUUGAGGCUUUGAGUAGUUUACUAUGAAGAGUGGAAGGUAUAACUUAGUGGCGGACGGGUGAGUAACGCGUGAGGAUCUGUCCAUAGCAGGGGGACAACAGCUGGAAACGGCUGCUAAUACCGCAUAUGCCGCAAGGUGAAAGGGAGCAAUCCCGGCGAUGGAGGAACUCGCGCCCUAUCAGCUAGUAGGUGGGGUAAAGGCCUACCUAGGCGAAGACGGGUAGCCGGCCUGAGAGGGCGCACGGCCACACUGGGACUGAGAUACGGCCCAGACUCCUACGGGAGGCAGCAGUGGGGAAUAUUGGGCAAUGGGGGAAACCCUGACCCAGCGACGCCGCGUGAGUGAAGAAGUCUUUCGGGACGUAAAACUCUUUUGUACGGGAAGAAGACGAUGACGGUACCGUACGAAUAAGCCCCGGCAAACUACGUGC